rnacentral:rRNA from 1 species
CUGAUCAGCAUGCCGCGUGUGUGAAGAAGGCCUGCGGGUUGUAAAGCACUUUCAUCGGGGAGGAAAAGCGGCGGGUUAAUAGCCUGUCGUCUUGACGUUACCCGAAGAAGAAGCGCCGGCNAACUUCGUGCCAGCAGCCGCGGUAAUA